rnacentral:rRNA from 1 species
CAAUAGCGUAUAUUUAAGUUGCUGCAGUUAAAAAGCUCGUAGUUGGAUUUCGGGUGGGAAUGGCCGGUCCGCCGUUUCGGUGUGCACUUGCUACGCCCACCUUGCUGCCGGGGACGUGCUCUUGAGUUCACGCUCGGGACACGGAGUCGGCGAGGUUACUUUGAGUAAAUUAGAGUGUUCAAAGCAGGCCUACGCUCUGAAUACAUUAGCAUGGAAUAACACGAUAGGACUCUGGCCUAUCUUGUUGGUCUGUAGGACCGGAGUAAUGAUUAAGAGGGACAGUCGGGGGCAUUCGUAUUUCAUUGUCAGAGGUGAAAUUCUUGGAUUUGUUAAAGACGGACUAAUGCGAAAGCAUUUGCCAAGGAUGUUUUCAUUGA